CUAGGAGGGUUAGUUAUGAUGUUAAUAGAUGCGUAUUGUUAGUUAGUUUGUUGCUUAGUGUGCAAGUAACACAUUUGUAUAUAACUAGCAAUGUAACACUCCUUAUGUAAUGCAAUUAGAAACUUUCCCUUAACUUUCUCUUUCAAUUUCUCCUAACUCUUUACUCACUUUUCUUCACCAUUCUCUCUAAGAACUCUAAGAGACAUGAGUCUUAGUGAGAAUAUUAAUGUAAAUAAAGUUGAUUUGUAUCUCAUGGAGGGUUUGGAGAAGAAAAGUACUACUUUUGACAUCUGGAACUGGUGGAAGGUAAAUUCCACCAAAUAUCCUACUCUUGGCCAAAUUGCUAGAGAUGUGAUGGCCAUGCCUGUGUAUACUGUUGCUUCUGAGUCAGCUUUCAGCACUUGAGGGAGAGUGCUAAAUUGUUAUAGGAGCUCUCUUAACCAAAGAAAAUUGAAGCUUUCGUUUAUGCCUAAAACUGGUGUCAAUCCACCCCAAUUGCUUCAGGUGUCGAGGAUCUUUUGGAGGACUUAGAAAAGCUGGAACUAGAUCUUGCCACAAUCACACAAUUGACUGAGAAGAUAUCAGAUAUCGACUCUGAUUAAUUGUUGGCUUGCUGCACUAGUCAAUAGUUAUGUGAGAAAAUCAUGAAGUUUUGAAGGCUAUACCGUAAAAUUAGAGAAUUGCCUUGUUUAAAUUUGGAUCGAAUGCAUUGUUUUUGGAUUAAAUGCCUAGUAGCAGACUUUGUUUAGCAGAAUUUGGAUUGUUUUAUGGUUUAAUUUGAUAUAUGGUAUAAUCGUAUUAACUAUAUAUUAAGAUUAAGACAUCCUGUCCUAAAUUAUGCAUCAGUAGAUGUGAUUGUAAUAUUUUUC